GGAUAUUAGUUAUUAAUUUACAUUAGUCUGGUAUACAUGAGGCAGUCUUUAACUAUGACCAAUGAUCAGUCAUAUAUGACCAAUUUCUUUCAAAACCCGAAAAGAAUUAUUGCUUCAGCACAGUUAAUGAUUAAUGCAAAGCUGCUAUUAUGAGUUAGAUUCUGCUUCAUUAAAGAUAAGCUAUCAAGGAAAACUGAACUGAAAAAUUAUAAAUGUUUGACUUCAGAUUUCAAGUUUCUUUGGCUAAACUUCAGCUGCCUUUCAUCUCAAUUUUACUUCAAACUCAAUACAUGUGUAAUGCUAUAUAAACAUUCUCUUCUGAUUUUCAGUGUAUUUUGAGAAUUGCAAUGAGAAGAAAAGAUGAAAAAUGCAAUUUUAAGAAAGUUUCUACAAACUCGAGUUAAUGCAUAUAGGAGAACAAGAAGAUUUAUACUAGCCAUGCAAGGAAUCUUUGGAAGUCUAACAGACCUGACUUGAAGAGAAGGCUUUAAACAAGAAAUUCUUCAUUCUGGAACAGUGAUUCUUAAAGUGCGGUUCAGAGACCCUGGGAGACACUGACAUUCUUUCAGAGUGUGAGUGAGGAUUUCCUCUUUGCAACUACAAUCUGUGUAAGGUUGGAUUUUCUUUACAUACAUAAACUAAAAUAAGAUUGCAAUAAGAUGAAUGCAGAAGCAGAUAAGAGAAUCCAGCUGUCUUAAGUUAGACUUCACAGAGAUUUGCAAAAAUCCAAACAAGACCACUCUCGUCAUUAAAGUUAUUUUCCAUUUGUUAUGGUGAACUUAUUUUGCAGGAAAUUUGUUAUUUAUAGUAACAUACAAUUUUGUUUUUUGAUCAUUUUAAAUAAAUUAAUAAAUAUUAUAAGUUUUCUAUUUUUAAAAUUAUACAUGUCAGAAAAGAACAGUUCUUUCAGGUCCUCAACAAUUUUAAGACUAUUAACUUGUUUUGGAUCAAAAAGUUCUAGAUUUGCUAUUCUAGACAUGAAUCCUUUGAAAUUAAUUGGCUUCAUAAGUAUAUUUUUCAAGUUUGUGGCUUGUCCUGUAACCUUCUACUGUGUAGAAGUUUUAAAUUUUAAUUUAAAGAAAUUUAAAAUUUUUUCAUUUUUGUUUGUGCUUUUGGUGUCAUAUUUAGGAAAUCCUUCUCUACCUUGAGUUCAUGAAAAUAUCCUCUUAUAUUUAGUAUUUACAGUUUGUUCUUCAUCUUUAGGUCUAUAAUUUAUUGAAAAUAUAG
rnacentral:lncRNA from 1 species